ACAAGAGUCAUCUAAUUAAUCCAUUAACCCAUUCUCAAAACGACGCCGUUUCGAAAACAACACCCUCACCUUCUCUUUAACUUUCGCUCAAUCAAAAACCCAAAAUCUCAAAAUCCCUAAACCUAACUUCUAUUUCUCCUCUGUAAUUGCUGCAACAACGAUGGAGAUGGAGCUAAGUGAGGACCUUACAGACUGAUCAAACAACUCAACGAAUAAUCUCAAUCAUAGGAAAAUGGACGGUGGUUUUAACAUGGAGGUUUGCAUAGGAGAAUAACGCGGUCGACAAGAGGGGGAAGUAGAGGAAGAGAGAGCCGAGGUAGCGGUGGAAAUGGUGGUUGGUUUGGUUUGGGUAGGUCUAUAAGGCAUUGGUUUGUUUGUAUUGGUGGUUGUGGUGAAAGCUAAAAUUCAAAUUUGAGGAGUAGAGGUUUUUCGAUUUUUAAUAACGGUGCUUCUUCAAGAAUAAGAAGAUUGGAUGGGGAGCUUAAUGGAAGGGGAAAAAAGAGCUGGAAGAAGUUAAUUUAAAUAAAGGGCAAUCAGAAGAAAAUGAAUUGAGCGUUUGGAAAAGAGCUAAGAGUAAGAGGUAAUGAAACAAAGCCAUAUGUUUUAGUUUGUUUUUUUGUAAUUUUGAGUCAGGAGAAGCAUCUUUCGUUUUUUUUUGCAAUUUUUUUCCUAGAAAAUCUAUGAAAAACAUCCAUUACUUAAAAGUUUAA